GAUGAACGCUGACAGAAUGCUUAACACAUGCAAGUCUACUUGAACUUCGGUUUGGGUGGCGGACGGGUGAGUAACGCGUACAGAACUUGCCUCACAGUUAGGGACAACAUUUGGAAACGAAUGCUAAUACCUGAUAUUAUGAUUUUAGGGCAUCCUAGGAUUAUGAAAGCUAUAUGUGCUGUGAGAGAGCUUUGCGUCCCAUUAGCUAGUUGGAGAGGUACGGCUCACCAAGGCGAUGAUGGGUAGCCGGCCUGAGAGGGUGAACGGCCACAAGGGGACUGAGACACGGCCCUUACUCCUACGGGAGGCAACAGUGGGGAAUAUUGGACAAUGGACCAAAAGUCUGAUCCAGCAAUUCUGUGUGCACGAUGACGUUUUUCGGAAUGUAAAGUGCUUUCAGUUGGGAAGAAAAAAAUGACGGUACCAACAGAAGAAGUGACGGCUAAAUACGUG
rnacentral:rRNA from 1 species